rnacentral:rRNA from 1 species
UACGUAGGGGGCAAGCGUUGUCCGGAAUCAUUGGGCGUAAAGCGCGCGUAGGCGGCUAGAUCAGUCUGCUGUAAAAGUCAAAGGCUCAACCUUUAAAAGCCGGUGGAUACUGUCUAGCUAGAGUCCGGAAGAGGCGAGUGGAAUUCCUGGUGUAGCGGUGGAAUGCGCAGAUAUCAGGAGGAACACCAACGGCGAAGGCAGCUCGCUGGGACGGUACUGACGCUAAGGCGCGAAAGCGUGGGGAGCGAACAGG